rnacentral:rRNA from 1 species
UACGUAGGGUGCAAGCGUUAAUCGGAAUUACUGGGCGUAAAGCGUGCGCAGGCGGUUAUGUAAGACAGGGGUGAAAUCCCCGGGCUUAACCUGGGAACUGCAUUUGUGACUGCAUAGCUAGAGUACGGUAGAGGGGGAUGGAAUUCCGCGUGUAGCAGUGAAAUACGUAGAUAUGCGGAGGAACACCGAUGGCGAAGGCAAUCCCCUGGACCUGUACUGACGCUCAUGCACGAAAGCGUGGGGAGCAAACAGG